rnacentral:rRNA from 1 species
CUACGGGGGGCAGCAGUGAGGAAUAUUGCACAAUGGGGGGAACCCUGAUGCAGCAACGCCGCGUGGAGGAUGACGCAUUUCGGUGUGUAAACUCCUUUUAUAUGUCAAGAAAAUGACGGUAGCAUAUGAAUAAGCGCCGGCUAACUCCGUGCCAGCAGCCGCGGUAAUACGGAGGGCGCAAGCGUUACUCGGAAUCACUGGGCGUAAAGGACGCGUAGGCGGGUUGAAAAGUCAGGUGUGAAAGCCUACAGCUUAACUGUAGAACUGCACUGGAAACUCUCAAUCUAGAGUAUGGGAGGGGCAGAUGGAAUUAGUGGUGUAGGGGUAAAAUCCGUAGAUAUCACUAGGAAUACCUAAAGCGAAGGCGAUCUGCUGGAACAUUACUGACGCUAAGGCGUGAAAGCGUGGGGAGCAAACAGGAUUAGAUACCCCAGUAGUC